AGCAGCCGCGGUAAUUCCAGCUCCAAUAGCGUAUAUUAAAGUUGUUGCAGUUAAAAAGCUCGUAGUUGAAUUUCGGGGUCAGUAGUCUGGUCGUGCCACUGGUAUGUACUGGGCUCACUGAUUCCUCCUUCCUGAUGAACUGUAAUGCCAUUAAUUUGGUGUUGCAGGGAAACUGGACUGUUACUUUGAAAAAAUUAGAGUGUUUAAAGCAGGCUAACGCUUGAAUACAUUAGCAUGGAAUAAUGAAAUAGGACGUUCGAUCCUAUUUCGUUGGUUUCUAGGAUUGACGUAAUGAUUAAUAGGGAUAGUUGGGGGCAUUAGUAUUCAAUUGUCAGAGGUGAAAUUCUUGGAUUUAUUGAAGACUAACUACUGCGAAAGCAUUUGCCAAGGAUGUUUUCAUUAAUCAAGAACGAAAGUUAGGGGAUCGAAGACGAUCAGAUACCGUCGUAG
rnacentral:rRNA from 1 species